rnacentral:rRNA from 1 species
UACGGAGGGUGCAAGCGUUAUCCGGAUUCACUGGGUUUAAAGGGAGCGCAGGCGGAUUUGUAAGUCAGUGGUGAAAGGCUUAAGCUUAACUUGGGAACUGCCAUUGAUACUAUAAGUCUUGAAUGUUGUUGAGGUUUGCGGAAUGGGUCAUGUAGCGGUGAAAUGCAUAGAUAUGACCCGGAACACCUAUUGCGAAGGCAGCAGGCUAAACAAAUAUUGACGCUGAGGAGCGAAAGCGUGGGGAGCGAACAGG